GUGCUCACUUCAGCAACACAUAUACUAAAAUUGGAAUGAUACAGAGAUGAUUAGCAUGGCCCCUGCACAAGGAUGACACGCAUUCGUGAAGCGUUCCAUAUUAAA